UAGCCGUAGGGGAACCUGCGGCUGGAUUACCUCCUUAUUUAUAGACUUGAAGUUGCUUAAGUGUUCACACAAAUUGCUUGAUAUUUAGUUAAUGAAGAACGAUUUGAAGGCCUGUAGCUCAGCUGGUUAGAGCGCACCCCUGAUAAGGGUGAGGUCGGUGGUUCAAGUCCACUCAGGCCUACCAGUUUUGGUAGAUAGAUCAUGGGGCUAUAGCUCAGCUGGGAGAGCGCCUGCUUUGCACGCAGGAGGUCUGCGGUUCGAUCCCGCAUAGCUCCACCAUAUCUUCACUCUAAACGAUAUUUUUAUAAGAUUUUAGAAUGCCGUGAAAUGAUUAUUUAAAUGAUUAUUUCACGUUGUUUUGACUUGAUUAAAAUAAUGUAUUUUUGUUCUUUAACAAUGUGGUAAAAAGUAUAAGUAAAGAUUCCUUGAUUAAUUUAGGGUUAUUUUUAUUUUCGAUUGAGAUGUAUUUUUAUGUUUUGAUUGAUAAAUGGGAAU
rnacentral:misc_RNA from 1 species